rnacentral:rRNA from 1 species
GAUGAACGCUAGCUACAGGCUUAACACAUGCAAGUCGAGGGGCAGCAUUUCAGUUUGCUUGCAAACUGGAGAUGGCGACCGGCGCACGGGUGAGUAACACGUAUCCAACCUGCCGAUAACUCGGGGAUAGCCUUUCGAAAGAAAGAUUAAUACCCGAUGGCAUAAUUAGACCGCAUGGUCUUAUUAUUAAAGAAUUUCGGUUAUCGAUGGGGAUGCGUUCCAUUAGGCAGUUGGUGAGGUAACGGCUCACCAAACCUUCGAUGGAUAGGGGUUCUGAGAGGAAGGUCCCCCACAUUGGAACUGAGACACGGUCCAAACUCCUACGGGAGGCAGCAGUGAGGAAUAUUGGUCAAUGGGCGCAGGCCUGAACCAGCCAAGUAGCGUGAAGGAUGACUGCCCUAUGGGUUGUAAACUUCUUUUAUAUGGGAAUAAAGUUUUCCACGUGUGGAAUUUUGUAUGUACCAUAUGAAUAAGGAUCGGCUAACUCCGUGCCAGCAGCCGCGGUAAUACGGAGGAUCCGAGCGUUAUCCGGAUUUAUUGGGUUUAAAGGGAGCGUAGGUGGACAGUUAAGUCAGUUGUGAAAGUUUGCGGCUCAACCGUAAAAUCGCAGUUGAUACUGGCUGUCUUGAGUACAGUAGAGGUGGGCGGAAUUCGUGGUGUAGCGGUGAAAUGCUUAGAUAUCACGAAGAACUCCGAUUGCGAAGGCAGCUCACUGGACUGCAACUGACACUGAUGCUCGAAAGUGUGGGUAUCAAACAGGAUUAGAUACCCUGGUAGUCCACACAGUAAACGAUGAAUACUCGCUGUUUGCGAUAUACAGUAAGCGGCCAAGCGAAAGCAUUAAGUAUUCCACCUGGGGAGUACGCCGGCAACGGUGAAACUCAAAGGAAUUGACGGGGGCCCGCACAAGCGGAGGAACAUGUGGUUUAAUUCGAUGAUACGCGAGGAACCUUACCCGGGCUUAAAUUGCAUUUGAAUAUAUUGGAAACAGUAUAGCCGUAAGGCAAAUGUGAAGGUGCUGCAUGGUUGUCGUCAGCUCGUGCCGUGAGGUGUCGGCUUAAGUGCCAUAACGAGCGCAACCCUUAUCUUUAGUUACUAACAGGUCAUGCUGAGGACUCUAGAGAGACUGCCGUCGUAAGAUGUGAGGAAGGUGGGGAUGACGUCAAAUCAGCACGGCCCUUACGUCCGGGGCUACACACGUGUUACAAUGGGGGGUACAGAAGGCAGCUACCUGGUGACAGGAUGCUAAUCCCAAAAGCCUCUCUCAGUUCGGAUCGAAGUCUGCAACCCGACUUCGUGAAGCUGGAUUCGCUAGUAAUCGCGCAUCAGCCAUGGCGCGGUGAAUACGUUCCCGGGCCUUGUACACACCGCCCGUCAAGCCAUGAAAGCCGGGGGUAAAAGAAGUACGUAACCGCAAGGAGCGUCCUAGGGU